CUAGGGUACGGGGACAUGUACCCGCAGACGCCCGGCGGGAAGUUCGUCGGGUCCGUGUGCGCUGUCGCCGGCAUCCUGACUGUCGCGCUGCCGGUCCCUGUCAUCGUGACAAAC
rfam:Branchiostoma floridae genomic scaffold BRAFLscaffold_245, whole genome shotgun sequence.